GCGGACAUCGUCGAAAGGCAAGACCGCAGUCUUCCAAACUGCUGAUGCGGGUUCGAUUCCCGCUGUCCGCUCCA
rnacentral:tRNA from 1 species